rnacentral:tRNA from 1 species
GUUUUCGUAGUGUAGUGGUUAUCACGUUCGCUUUACACGCGAAAGGUCCUCGGUUCGAGCCCGGGCGGAAACA